UACGUAGGGUGCGAGCGUUGUCCGGAAUUAUUGGCGUAAAGAGCUCGUAGGCGGUCUGUCGCGUCGAUCGUGAAAACUUGGGGCUUAACCCUGAGCUUGCGGUCGAUACGGGCAUGACUGGAGUUCGGCAGGGGAGACUGGAAUUCCUGGUGUAGCGGUGAAAUGCGCAGAUAUCAGGAGGAACACCGGUGGCGAAGGCGGGUCUCUGGGCCGAUACUGACGCUGAGGAGCGAAAGCGUGGGGAGCAAACAGG
rnacentral:rRNA from 1 species